AGUGAACGCUGGCGGCAGGCCUAAUACAUGCAAGUCGAACGGCAGCACGGCAGAGCUUGCUCUGUGGGUGGCGAGUGGCGGACGGGUGAGGAAUACAUGGGAAUCUGCCCAGUCGUGGGGGAUAACGUAGGGAAACUUACGCUAAUACCGCAUGCGCCCUUCGGGGGAAAGCCGGGGACCGUUCGGGCCUGGCGGCGAUUGGAUGAGCCCAUGUCGGAUUAGCUAGUUGGCGGGGUAAUGGCCCACCAAGGCGACGAUCCGUAGCUGGUCUGAGAGGAUGAUCAGCCACACUGGAACUGAGACACGGUCCAGACUCCUACGGGAGGCAGCAGUAGGGAAUAUUGGACAAUGGGCGCAAGCCUGAUCCAGCCAUGCCGCGUGAGUGAAGAAGGCCCUCGGUUGUAUAGCUCUUUUGUCCGGAAAGAAAAGCGCCGGGUUAAUACCCUGGUGUCCUGACGGUACCGGAAGAAUAAGCACCGGCUAACUUCGUGCCAGCAG
rnacentral:rRNA from 1 species